GUGCCAGCAGCCGCGGUAAGACGUAGGGCGCGAGCGUUGUCCGGAUUUAUUGGGCGUAAAGAGCUCGUAGGCGGCUCAUUGCGUCAACCGUGAAAUCUCACAGCUCAACUGUGGGUCUGCGGUUGAUACGGGUGGGCUGGAGUUCGGUAGGGGAGACUGGAAUUCCUGGUGUAGCGGUGAAAUGCGCAGAUAUCAGGAGGAACACCGGUGGCGAAGGCGGGUCUCUGGGCCGAUACUGACGCUGAGGAGCGAAAGCGUGGGGAGCGAACAGGAUUAGAAACCCGCGUAGUCC
rnacentral:rRNA from 1 species